CACAUUUCCCCUCAAGACAACUCUUAUGCUCCCAUGAUCCCUCCUCAUUCCUCUCAACAACAUUCCAUCCCAUGUCAGAUGAAUGAUUUUGAGUGCUCCACAAUUACUCAUUGCCACUUUCCAUUGGCUUCUUUAAGAGUGAUGUCUAAAGGUAUUAAAUAGUAAGGUUUUCCAUGUCGGAAUUGGACCUCAUGUUGGUCGGUUGGCAAUAUGGUUCAGUAUGCCCUUGUAUCGUUCUGUACAAGGCCCAACAUGACAAAGAAAGUGGGGAAGGAGAAUAGGAGAGGAAAAGAUAGAGAGGGGGAGGGAAAGUGAGGGAGGGAAGCAAAGGGAGAUGACAGAGAUGUCGGUGGUGGCCGUCGAAGGGCCAUGGAGGCCCUUGGGUGAUCGGAGGAGCAAGAAACUUUAAACAGACCGAAUUGAGAGAGAGGGGGGGAUGGAGGGAGAGG
rnacentral:lncRNA from 1 species